CUUAAGCAUGCCAUUCAUAGCAAAUACAAGAUUGCUAUUCAGCAUCAGGUGCUGGUGGUCAGUGGAGGAGAAUGCAUGGCUGCAGACAAGAGUGUGUGCACCUACAGUGCUGGGACGGACACAUCCAAUUUUUCUUUUUAACAAAGAAAUAAUCUUAUGUGAUUGUCACCUGCCAUUCUUAAAAAAACCUUUUCAACAGAAAAUGACAUGGAAAUAAAAGUUGAAGAGUCUCUUAUGAUGCCUGCAGUUUUUCACAGUGUUGCUUCAAGAACACAGCUUGCAGUGGAAAUGUAUGAAGUUGCCAAGAAACUUUGCUCUUUCUGUGAAGGUCUGGUCCAUGAUGAACAUGUUCAACACCAAGGCUGGGCUGCAAUCAUGGCAAAUCUAGAGGACUGUUCAAAUUCAUACCAAAAACUACUUUGCAAGUUUGAAAGUAUUUAUUCAAAUUAUCUGCAAUCCAUAGAAGACAUGGAGUUAAAACUUAGUAUGUUAGGAACUGCGGUUUCCAUAAUGGCCAAGGUCCCAUUUUUGGAGUACCUGACCAGACAUAGUUACAGGGAAUGUUUGGGAAGACUGGAUUCUUCACCUGAACAUGAAGGCCCAGAGCAGGCUGAGAUGAAAACUUCCACUGAUCCGGUGCUCUCUCCUGAUCUGCCCAGAACAGCAACCAAUCCUCAUUAACCUUACUUCACAAGUCAAUGGAACAUGCAGCCCCAGAUACCACAGAUGCUGAGAGUAGAAAAGAAAUGAAAGA